GCCAGGUGCAGUGGCACUCACCUGUAAUCCCAGCAACUCAGGAGGCUGAGGCAGGAGGAUCACAAGUUCAAAGACAACUUAGUGAGGCCCUAAGCAACUUUAGGGAAACCCUGUCUCAG
rnacentral:sRNA from 1 species